rnacentral:rRNA from 1 species
AACGAACGCUGGCGGCAUGCCUAACACAUGCAAGUCGAACGAGACCUUCGGGUCUAGUGGCGCACGGGUGCGUAACGCGUGGGAACCUGCCCUUAGGUUCGGAAUAACUCCCCGAAGGGGGUGCUAAUACCGGAUAAUGUCUUCGGACCAAAGAUUUAUCGCCUUUGGAUGGGCCCGCGUUGGAUUAGCUAGUUGGUAGGGUAAAAGCCUACCAAGGCGACGAUCCAUAGCUGGUCUGAGAGGAUGAUCAGCCACACUGGGACUGAGACACGGCCCAGACUCCUACGGGAGGCAGCAGUGGGGAAUAUUGGACAAUGGGCGAAAGCCUGAUCCAGCAAUGCCGCGUGAGUGAUGAAGGCCUUAGGGUUGUAAAGCUCUUUUAACCGGGAUGAUAAUGACAGUACCGGGAGAAUAAGCUCCGGCUAACUCCGUG